rnacentral:rRNA from 1 species
ACGGGGGGUGCGAGCGUUGUCCGGAAUCACUGGGCGUAAAGGGCGUGUAGGUGGCGUGAUAAGGGUGUGGUGAAAGCCCGGGGCUCAACCCCGGGUCGGCCAUGCCGACUGUCAGGCUCGAGUGCUGUAGGGGCAGGCGGAAUUCCUGGUGUAGCGGUGAAAUGCGUAGAUAUCAGGAGGAACACCGGUGGCGAAGGCGCACAUCUGGCCCAAUACUGACGCUGAGGCGCGAAAGCUAGGGGAGCAAACGGGA